UACAAACCACUGAUCGUCAUCCUACAUCUCCCAUAAUUGCUCUUCUUUCUUGAGCUAAUAAGCUUCAUCCAGCCAAGUCAUAUUCUAAGCCAUCCAAACAAUAAUGGAUGCUUCCAAACAUCAUAGGAAGCAUCCACAAAGACUGCCUGCAUCCAUCCAGUUGUCUCCUAAUAUAUCAAAAUUAAGUUAAUGGAACAGCACAAAAAUGGUCAAAAUGUACUAAAACUAACAAAGGUUUAUGCAUCAAAACUCAAUAACUACUCUCCACUACCCUCAAAAG